UUGUGGGCUAGGCUGGGGAGCUAGCGGUUCCCUUUACCGGAAAUCCGCUUUAUGCCGGGCCGAAGUCUUGGGGAAGGCCCUGUGCUAAAGACAAAGCCACAACCUCACUGUGAAGCUCUGCGCUCACUGGUCUCAUGUGUUAGUGAAUCCGCUAGGCCUGGAAAGGAGCAACGGUAGCUAGCACAUGGGAUGCUAUGGGUUUGCGGAGUGGAGAAAAGUUGUGGGCAACUUUGUCUUUGGCUAGGGGUCGACUUCAAGACAUGCCCACAA
rnacentral:SRP_RNA from 1 species